UGUUAAGAAUUAUUAGGGAACUAAUUCUAGUUGACGAUACUUUGAUUAAUGUACAUAUAAAUAUAGCUUAGAAUAGAUUUACUGUUAAGUAGGUAUUAUAGUUAUAAGUGCAAUUAUUGUAUAUGUUAAAUAUAAAUACAGACGCAGACUAUCUGAUUGUAUUAAGCAUUAAUUAUCUUUACUUUUACCAUGCAUUUGUUUAACCAUUGUAUACUAUAUUGCUGUACUACUUUAAUAAUAUCUAUCUCGUUCUAAUGUAUAUUUACUUUACUAUUCUAACAGUAUUGCCAUUUCACUCUUUAUUAUAUCACUAUCUCAUUUGUACAUGUAACUCUGUCUCCUUUGUAUUUUACUAUUACUGCAAUAAAGAUAAGGGAAUGCGGACGCUUCUAAUCCUAUAUAAUUCAGCACCCCAAUAAUAAUUCACACACUUCACUCUCGAAGCCUGAAGCGAUCGCAUCUACAUUUAAUCAAGUUAUACGUGUUUUAUUUACGCGUCAAUCCCUGUGGUUUGGACCCUCCAAAAUCCUCCACAGUGCAUGGUCCUUCGUACCGGAUUCACCGAGCCGGCAAACAUCAUUGAAGAUAAGCUCAGGCAAGAGAGCGUCUCCGUGGAAGAACUGAAGAGGAAUCAACCUAUCGCCGCAGAACAGGGUUCCGCGGGCUUGGAAGAUCGUUCAGUUGGACCACGGAACUGAAGUGACGUCAUCGAAGUCUGCCUAGACCGAAGAAAAGGCAUCGACCCUUCGCUGCGGGUGCAUUGAGGCGAAGCUCAGUAGUAGCUGCCGAAGACCGCGAGGCUUGUGGGGAAGAUCGUUUCAUCGAGCUACAGACUAACCGAAGAUCUACGACGCAACGACGAAAAGGAAUCCACCUUCGCUGCGGGUGCGUUGAGGCGAAGCUCAGCAGUAGCUGCCGAAGACCGCGAGGCUGUUGGGAAGAUCAUUUCGUCGCGCUGUAGAAAACCUUCAAAGGAGUCACACCUUCAACAAAACGAAGAGGAAUCCACCUUCGCUGCGGGUGCAUUGAGGCGAAGCUCCGAGUAGCUGCUGAAGACCGCGAGGCUGUUGGGAAGAUCGCUUCGGCGCGUUGGAGAAGACUUCAAGGGUGUCAACUUCAACAAACCGAAGAGGAAUCCACCUUCGCUGCGGGUGCAUUGAGGCGAAGCUCGGAGUAGCUGCUGAAGACCGCGAGGCUGUUGGGAAGAUCGCUUCGUCGCGUUGGAGAAGACUCUAAGCGGUUUACCGCGCCUCAUCUGUUCACCACCUAACGGUGUCAAACGGUGAACAGUGAGUUAACGCCUAACGGCGGGAGCAGUAUACCAGACGAUACUGCCAGCUUGCCUUAACCGGCAGCUGUACCAGUCUGAUCGCGCCGAUAUGGUUCACGUGAGAUAGGGGUCCUCCUAGUAGGCACAGCCGAGGGUGUCGGGCGUUCCUCCCGAUACCUGAGCACUCUAACCCUCACGUGUUACCCUCUGUCGGGCGAUUCCCACCUCACCUUACCCAUUACUCCAUCCCUGGGAGAGUGUGUCUUUCGAGACCCUCAAACAGGACUGCUAGGGCGAUAGGGCAGUUAGGGUAUUAGGGACGGUAGGUUUAUUAGGGUAUUUAUGUAUUUUAUUUUAAGGUAUUUAAUUAUUUUAUUUAGGGUUAACGUUAGGAUUAAUAGGGUAUUAGGGACAGUAGGAUAGCUACAGUUCAUAAAACCCCAAGAACGAAGAGAGCAGGUAGCUCUUAGAUAGAUUCAAAUAUAAAACGACGUACGCAAGACCAUGGAUAGUUUAAUAAGCACAGAUAUGCGAAUGCUAUUAAACUACCUACAAAAAUUAGGACAAGUUUCAAAUGAAGACCCCUGCAUACAUAAUAAUAAUCAAACGCAAGCUAUACAUGACGGACACCGCGUGGAUAAACGGACACGAGAUUAUACAAGAAAAAGAGCUAUUUUAAAAGCAAAUCUAGAAAUUAAACAAGCACAGUUAGAACGGGCCAAUGCAGAAGUCGAAAUAGCGAAAACAAAAAUAGAGCUUAUGCAAUUUGAUAAAGAAAAUAGUUAUAAUAAAAUAACAGAAACUGUUAAUACCAAUAAAGAUAACCUCCAUGAUUCACCACAAGUAAUUAUAAAUGAAAAUAAAGACAUUGACCCUGGAUAUAUCAUAGCAACAAUUAAUAACGAUUAUCAUUCAGAGACAACCUGUAAUAGUGAUAGUGCUUCUGAAGAUGAAGUUAAAAUAGUUUUGGCCAACUCUAUUACAGAAGGGAAAAUUCUUUCAUGCCAACCAGAGCCAUGCAAAUUACAAAUAAUUAAAAACAACGAAAGCUAUUCAGAAGUAAUUAACAGCAACCUUAACGAUAGCACAGUAUUUACAUUGGUCACAUCUACACUAAGUAAACAAACUUUUACAAACAAACAAGAAAGUUACCAUGUAGUAAAUCAGAAAGAACGCUUAAAGAAAAGUAAACUGAAAAAUCAUAGACCUGGCAAGAUUUUUAUGAGCAAAUUAUAUAUAACAUAUUUUAAACUAAUGCCCGUGAAUUUCUACAAACAGUAUACGAAUGAAACAACUAUAACUUCACCCUCGAGGGAAAACUCUUAUAAUAAAGCUACUCUAGAAUAUCGAAUGAUUAAUCAGGACACCACUCUUAUCAAUGUUUUUACAAGAAAUGACACAUCACAAAUAAAAGAAAGUCAUUAUAGCUCAAACUAUGAUAGUCAUUCUAAAAAAGAAGGUAAACUGGCUGUAGUCAUUUGUACAAUGGACGAAGAACAAACAAUUUUACGCCAAUUAGAUAAAUACUGCGAGACAAAUUAUAAACAAAGUUUAGUUAAAGCUAAGUCAAAAUACAGCAUCAUUGACCUAUGUAGCAAGAUUGAAAAUCAUUAUAAACCAAACAAGAUUGACCUGAUAAAGAAAUUGAGUUCAGAGAAACUAUAUUUAAAUUUAACGAUAGAAGAAAAGCGCAGACAUAACAAAACUGUAAAUACAAUGUGUAUAUGGAAUACAGUUACUAAAAUAUUACGCAAUCAAACGGAUUUCUCAGAAGCUUUACGAAACAACCUGCAAACAAGAGUAAAAAAUAAUUAUUAUAACAUCCAAGCUCACAAAAAACAUGUUGAAUUGGUCGCAAGAUAUAUAGCAAGCAAAGACGCUAAAGACUCUGUUGUAAAAUAUCAAAAUCACUUAAUUGAACUUCAAGAAGAACAAAGAAAUAAAAUAUUACAAUCAUUUGCCGAACAAUCAGUUAAACCCAGUAUAUUACGACCAUCUGUACGUAAUAAAUUAAUACCUUUGAACUUACACCACGUCAACAUUAUUGUAACACACGAACCGCUUUGUUCAAUAACAAGAAAUAUAAUUAAAAAGCCAACAAUAGAAUGUCAUAAGCCAGUAAGAACUUGGAAAAACAAAAAAGGCCAACAAUUUGCCGAACAAACUACUACGCCUAGUUUAUUGCUACCACCUGCAAAUAAUAAAAUAAAUCCCUGGAACUUACACCGCCAUGAAAAUAUCAUAAAACAACUUAUCCCUGAACGCCAUUGUUUAAAACUAACGAAGAUACUUAAAAAACCAGUUAACGUUAUCAUAAAACAAAAUAUAACAAUAGGAAAAGGCAUCUUAAAAUAUAUUUUCGAAAUAAGUGGACUCAGUUUGUUGCCAUCGGCUAAUAACAAAGAGACAAUGCUACUUAAUGUAAUUGCUAAUGACCACCUGUUUACUAGGACAAUACCAUGGCCACAAAGCGACAAAUGGAUUACUGAUAAUAAUCACAGUAAACAGAGAUUAAAACAAAACGUCAAUGGAACGCCGAAUUUAGUCAUAAAAUCUAAGGUAUUGAAUUUUAAAGAUAAAUAUAACUCAUCAGAGUUUAAAUUAACGACCAAAACCAUCGAAGAUAAAUGUACACAGAUAAUAACCUUCAAACGUGACAUAGCACAAAUUGUAAGACCUGGACAACGCUUUACCGGUAAAUAUUUAAUUAAAAACCAAGAGGAUCUUAUAAAACUGAAACUUAUUGGAAAUAUACCAAUAAAUAUUUUCGAAGAUUACUUAUUGAAACCAUGCAGAAUUAUAAAUAAUGUUAUACGUAUCAUAAUAUCGCAGUAUUCAAGGCAAUUCACUCAAUUUCAAGACGAGGGGGAGCUCUACAAUGACCUGUAUCGUAUUAUAAAUAUAUACCAAACAUAUAGAAAACCUAGACUGAAGAAGGCUUAGUCUCGGUAACCAAUCCAAGGCUGAACAUUAGAAUUUAAAUUAAAUUAAAGUUAUUUCGAAGUCACAACUAAAUUAAAAUAAUUAAACAUUACAAAAACAAAUUAUGCUCUUAGUUUAUGUAGUUUGUUCUUCAUUAAAAUCUUUGUCUGUGUUAGUAAUUAUCAUGAAGUACCAUGUAAAAGCAUGCGAAGUAUAAUCAAUCUAUUUUUAAUUACUUAAUUUGAUUUAUUAAUAUAAACGUUAAAGCUUUCUCAAAAUAACAAACAAGCAAAUCACAAGGAAUGAUUUAUAUGUUUAGAUUCACUUAUAGGCACGAUAUUUUGCAUUAUAUAAGUUGAAAGGAAAUGAUCUUAUUAUUUUAAUACUAUGAUUAUAUUAACAUUAAGUACAUAUUUUAGUUUACUUACGAAGUAUAGAAAAUUCUUGAACCAAAACUGAACACUAGAUAAUUGUAACCUGAGAAAUAUCUGUAUCCUGAAUAUUGUAACAAAGUUGUAUUAAAUAAAACCUUACAGAUCUUGAAUUUAGCCUGUAUCGUCAACCCCUACUUUUAGUGCUGCAGAAUACAUCUUGACAGAUCUUAUCUUCGCACGAGGGGGAGACUGUUAAGAAUUAUUAGGGAACUAAUUCUAGUUGACGAUACUUUGAUUAAUGUACAUAUAAAUAUAGCUUAGAAUAGAUUUACUGUUAAGUAGGUAUUAUAGUUAUAAGUGCAAUUAUUGUAUAUGUUAAAUAUAAAUACAGACGCAGACUAUCUGAUUGUAUUAAGCAUUAAUUAUCUUUACUUUUACCAUGCAUUUGUUUAACCAUUGUAUACUAUAUUGCUGUACUACUUUAAUAAUAUCUAUCUCGUUCUAAUGUAUAUUUACUUUACUAUUCUAACAGUAUUGCCAUUUCACUCUUUAUUAUAUCACUAUCUCAUUUGUACAUGUAACUCUGUCUCCUUUGUAUUUUACUAUUACUGCAAUAAAGAUAAGGGAAUGCGGACGCUUCUAAUCCUAUAUAAUUCAGCACCCCAAUAAUAAUUCACACACUUCACUCUCGAAGCCUGAAGCGAUCGCAUCUACAUUUAAUCAAGUUAUACGUGUUUUAUUUACGCGUCAAUCCCUGUGGUUUGGACCCUCCAAAAUCCUCCACAAUUUUAUUUAUAGAAUAGUUACUAAUUGUUGUUUUAUGUUGUGCAAUCUUAUGUGUCAGUGCACUGUGAACCUUCUGCCACCAGUUAUUCUUCUAAUAGCUCGUAAGUCUAGCAGUGACCGGCUUGGGCGUGUACGCGCUGAUCCAAGUGAACGACGCUGACCUGGAGUACGCCAACACCGCGCCGAUCAUUGUCAUCGUGGUGGGUUGCGUCUUCACUGCGAUCUUCUUCUGCGGA